rnacentral:lncRNA from 1 species
AUGGGAUGUCAUACAUAUCACUACGUACGGCUUGAUUGGUUUUAUUUACCCUACUUAUUUAUUUAUUUAUUUUUUAUUUUAUUUUUGGGUGGGUUGGGUGGGGGUGGGGUGUUGUCCUAAAACAGCUAGCAUAUAUCUUUAAAAUUCUACUUGAAGCCAAAUUAUUUAAAGAAUUAGUUUUCAUUCAUGACUUAUACAACUGUUAUUCUGUUUAUAUAGGAAAAUGUUAAUUUAUUGCGUUUUUAACGGUAUUAAUUGGUAAAAAUGCCCAUAUUUAUAACUUCUAAUUAAAAAUAUUUAUUUUAUAAAAA